rnacentral:rRNA from 1 species
AUUGAACGCUGGCGGCAUGCCUUACACAUGCAAGUCGAACGGCAGCACGGGAGCAAUCCUGGUGGCGAGUGGCGAACGGGUGAGUAAUAUAUCGGAACGUGCCCAGUCGUGGGGAUAACGUAGCGAAAGCUACGCUAAUACCGCAUACGAUCUAUGGAUGAAAGCGGGGGAUCGCAAGACCUCGCGCGAUUGGAGCGGCCGAUAUCAGAUUAGGUAGUUGGUGAGGUAAAGGCUCACCAAGCCGACGAUCUGUAGCUGGUCUGAGAGGACGACCAGCCACACUGGGACUGAGACACGGCCCAGACUCCUACGGAGGCAGCAGUGGGGAAUUUUGGGACAAUGGGCGCAAGCCUGAUCCAGCAAUGCCGCGUGCAGGAUGAAGGCCUUCGGUUGU